ensembl:lncRNA
UUUUAAUAAGAACAUACAUAUUCUCCUAUUCAGAAAACAACCAAAUGUAACAGUAGUGAAUCUAGUACUGGGUUGAAAUAAAUUUUCAUUAGGAAAGAUGACGGUAACCAGCAGCUGAGCUGCACAGAAAAUGAUUUACCUUGAAUAUCCUUCAAAAGCAUUCCUAAGGAACUAACGAUUUAAUAAGAAGUUAUUAGAUUAAGCUUUCUUCUCUGAAAGCAGAUACAGAAUUACAUGGGACUCUGAUUGUAAUCAUCUGUUAAAAAGACAUGUCAAGGGAAUCAGCUUUCUCCAAGAAAGCUUACCAGUUUGCUCCUGGGAAAACAGAAACACUGACAUGUGCUUCAUUCUCAGUUAUGGUUAGUUUAAUUAUAAUAUACUUCUGACCAAACGUGCACAAAAGAUAACACAGCAGCAAGAAUUUCAGCUAUACAGACUUGUGGAAAAUAUCUGAAUGAACAUUUCAUCCAGUACUUUUAGUAUUAUUCAAAACAAAUCAGUUUGUAGAAUGUGUGCUUCAUGUUUUCUUCCCAUAACUGUCCUGGCUCCAUCUGAGCUAUAUGUUCCAGGCUGCCCUCCUGCAUGAGAUUCCUUUGGGAUCCUGACAAAGAUGUAAAGAUGGAAGAACAAGAAUGUAUUUCCUGAAUGAUACCCUAUUUUUAAAAAUGCCACGUUUUAUCAUGUUCCUAAAUAAAUAAAUGUUUGUAAAUUUCCAAGAGUAUAAUUUUUGAAUGAUUCUGCUAAUAUCCUUUGAUGAACUGCCUAAAAGUGAAUGCAAACAAAUCUAAAAAUGGUUAUAUUUUUAUCACUGAUAAUUUCGGAAAAAUAUUUGAUAUUUUCAUGGUUUCAGAUGGCAUGUUAUUUGUGUUAGUAUGGGUUGCAGGUUACCACAUGUAAGAGACUAUUCUUUUAUAUCAUUGACUCAAAGUUUGCUGAGGAACAAGUCCAGGCAAGUCCUGGGCAAAGGUAGAGAAAUCUUCUGUCUGGAGGACACUGAGGUCCUGGCUAAGGAUUGUGAAAUCCUCUAAGGAGCACAGAUGGACAAGACCAGGGGCAUCGAGAGAGAGAUAAGCUGCUGCUAAUGGCCGGGAAACGGUCUUUUUGUGUGGACUUAUCUCGAGGAAGAUGGCCAUCUCAGGAGGUACGCACAGGACUCUUGCUCAAGCACCCAGGAAUGUCACGUAGGCAGGAGAAAAUGGAGGAUAAAAGAGGGUCCAACAACCACGGCGAAGGUAGAGGCUUAUCACUCACCACGACAGACUUGAGGGGUUCUCUGCCAUCUGAUCCUUCACCGCAACGUGGAGACUGAUCUCUCACCGCAACGUGGAGACUGAUCUCUCACCGCAACGUGGAGGCUGAUCUCUCACCACGACACGAGCUUUCUGCCUUCAGAUCCUUCUCUACGGACUGUUUGCUGACAGACUUCCCUGGGCCUGCUACCUGAGACCUGCUGCUUUCCCCCUGACCUGCACCCUCUCGUUGCCCAAGACCGGCCUCGCUGCUCCUGCUCUUCGGCCUCGGACCAUCGGAACAUCGUGCAACGGGACUGCUGCCGGAUCCUGGUGGUGACUAUCCCCGCUUUACGCAAUUCUUGCCUCUUUCUAUCUUUUCUAUCGCUCGCCUUCCCUUCCCCAUCACCCCAAUCCGUAAUAGUGUCAGUCCUCCCCUUUCUUCAUCUCCCUUAUUAACAUUUGUAAUAAACUGGUCGGACCAACAUUUGAACCGUUGUUUCUUAAUCUCACGCCGGGCAUACAUAUUUCAAAGAACCUCCUCUCCCUCCUAUAAAUUGGAGUGAGACACCACAGAUAACAUGCAAGUGGUAAAAAGGCUGAGUACUAACAAAUAACAUUUAGGAAGUAAAAAGAAACCCAAAGUUCAACUAUCAAAGUCAUGAAGUUUUCUAAUUCUUU